rnacentral:rRNA from 1 species
AGUGAACGCUGGCGGUAGGCCUAACACAUGCAAGUCGAACGGCAGCACAGUAAGAGCUUGCUCUUACGGGUGGCGAGUGGCGGACGGGUGAGGAAUACAUCGGAAUCUACUUUUUCGUGGGGGAUAACGUAGGGAAACUUACGCUAAUACCGCAUACGACCUACGGGUGAAAGCAGGGGAUCUUCGGACCUUGCGCGAUUGAAUGAGCCGAUGUCGGAUUAGCUAGUUGGCGGGGUAAAGGCCCACCAAGGCGACGAUCCGUAGCUGGUCGGAGAGGAUGAUCGGCCACACUGGAACGGAGCCACGGUCCAGACUCCUACGGGAGGCAGCAGUGGGGAAUAUUGGACAAUGGGCGCAAGCCUGAUCCAGCCAUACCGCGUGGGUGAAGAAGGCCUUCGGGUUGUAAAGCCCUUUUGUUGGGAAAGAAAAGCAGCAGGUUAAUACCCCGCUGUUCUGACGGUACCCAAAGAAUAAGCACCGGCUAACUUCGUG